rnacentral:rRNA from 1 species
CAGUCGAGCGAUGGAUUAAGAGCUUGCUCUUAUGAAGUUAGCGGCGGACGGGUGAGUAACACGUGGGUAACCUGCCCAUAAGACUGGGAUAACUCCGGGAAACCGGGGCUAAUACCGGAUAAUAUUUUGAACUGCAUGGUUCGAAAUUGAAAGGCGGCUUCGGCUGUCACUUAUGGAUGGACCCGCGUCGCAUUAGCUAGUUGGUGAGGUAACGGCUCACCAAGGCAACGAUGCGUAGCCGACCUGAGAGGGUGAUCGGCCACACUGGGACUGAGACACGGCCCAGACUCCUACGGGAGGCAGCAGUAGGGAAUCUUCCGCAAUGGACGAAAGUCUGACGGAGCAACGCCGCGUGAGUGAUGAAGGCUUUCGGGUCGUAAAACUCUGUUGUUAGGGAAGAACAAGUGCUAGUUGAAUAAGCUGGCACCUUGACGGUACCUAACCAGAAAGCCACGGCUAACUACGUGCCAGCAGCCGCGGUAAUACGUAGGUGGCAAGCGUUAUCCGGAAUUAUUGGGCGUAAAGCGCGCGCAGGUGGUUUCUUAAGUCUGAUGUGAAAGCCCACGGCUCACCCGUGGAGGGUCAUUGGAAACUGGGAGACUUGAGUGCAGAAGAGGAAAGUGGAAUUCCAUGUGUAGCGGUGAAAUGCG